CGAAGCUACUUCUGUUCUCUUUCCAUUCCACUCUCACUCUUCUCUUAAGCUCAGAAACACUUGAAACUGCUUGGUUCACUUUCAUCAAAGGUUGAAAAUCAGUAGGUACUAUAUCUCCAAGUCUUGCUUCUCAUCAUGUUAGGAGAACAAAUGGAAGACUUUGAGAUUUCAAACCACUGAGCUUCUCUCUAUUUUGCUUCAAUGCUAGAAAUUUUCUUUCAUUUCGGUGAUCAAGAUGGAGGUUGACUAUCUCUGAAAUUUGAAAUGGGAAAUCCCAUUGUUCAUACAUACUUGAGAAAAUUCAUUGAUCUUGCUCAAGAGAGUUACUAAAAACUAAGUUUCCUUUGUACCUUUCUCUUACAUAUUUGGAUUUGCCAAGUUGAUGUUAUCUGAUAUUGACUGCUUGGCUUUUCUGUGUUUUCUGCAGAAUCCUAAUAUGCAGUUUGAGGCUUUGAUUUACUACCUCACAAAUCUAAGUGAAUUACAGAUAGUUUUAGUUUUGGCUACUCUUUUGAUUUUUCUGUGUUUUCGCUUUUGCUCUAUUCCUCCCUGUAACACUACGUUACUCAUCAUUCAAGGUAAACUCAUUCCUCACAAUCUACACUUGACUAGAAAUUUAACAUUAUAACCUACACUUGACUAGAAAUUUUGCACUCCUCACAAUCAUUUUAUCUGCAGGCUCACUAGCCAUUCCCUUCAAAUCAUAUUAUGGAGGGUUAUGCAUAUAUGCUCACGCACCACGGAAUACCUUCCGUUUUCUAUGACCACUUCUAUGAUUCGGAUGAUUUCAUUCAUGAUUAGAUCGUGAAACUGGUACAGCAGUACAGCUAGCUAGUUCCUUUAUUGACUUGUGUCUAGUAGAAGUUUUUCCUUCAUUAAGCAUUUGGACUUCCAGAUUAGUAUAUAUGGGCCAUUUUGAACUGAUGCUCAUGAUUAGGUUUGUGUACAUGA